CCACACACAAAAAAAUGUGCACGGGCGAACAUGUACACAUGUUUCUCUACCAAGCUUACAACUACCCUCUUCGCACCUGUUGUUACUGCGCUUGCUGCUUCUUGAACUCUAUUAGGUGUUUUCCUCAUCACACCACUUUUCUCCCUACCGAUCACUUUUCCGCUCGCUCUCCCUCCGCAUGGCGCUCAGCACGGGGUCUCUAAUUGUGAAGGAUGUGGUAUGUUGCGACGCAUCUGGGCACCCAUGCUGGCGCUUCUUCUAGCCCGUCAAGUGCGCCUCUCAUUGCAGCUUGGCAUUGUGAAUUCGAGCACAAGGACGAGGUGGAGAAGCUUGCCGCAUUGGCAAUUUCAGGGGAGCCGACGCCAGCUGCAUGGAUUACAGACCCGGUCACCGGUGCCCAAUGACAGGCUAACCUCUCCCCAAACCGCAAUACGCGAUGCUAUACGCGGAGACAAUGGGUGCUUGGCAGAAGCCUUUCGACACCAGAAGAACACGGCCGGCGACCUUGCGAGACGACGGGAGACCGUCCGCGCCUAGUCCUGCGCAGGCACCUGCCCGCACUUUGGAUUGGUGCAACGGCGGGUGACUGGCAGCGACAGCGUGGGGUGCACGUGGCGUGCUACCUACUGCUGCGCUGGCACUGUAGUGCCCCCUCCCCCGCCUGUGCCUGCUAUGAGGGUGUCCGACCCGGUGCUGUGCCCGGUAUGCUACGCGGGAUUCGCGGACCGCUCGAGGCGGAAAGUGCACCUCGUUUCACGCUAUGGUUGUGCAGGCAAUCAUUUGAUUACGCAUACAUCUCACUAGCGCUGCGCGAACUUCCAGCGUCUGGCAUCUAUGACUGCCCCGUGUGCCGCUUCAGGACGGCAGGCUAUGAGUUUUAUGUACGCAGGCACAUGCUUAUGCACAUGCCCCUCCCACUAGACUCACCCACUCCUGUGACGGACGUGCGGUUUCAUCAGAGGGCUUAAUGCCACUGCUGUCACAGACUCACAGCGACGCCCCACCUCUUGCGGCAGAUGCGGGCAAGCCGUCCAGACACACCCCUGUGAAAUUGACGGAAACACAAGAAGGCAUACAGGAUCCCUCUCCCGCUGACAACAACGCCGUCACGAAACAGACGACAGGAUCCACUAGUGUGAAUACAGUGCGCACGCGCUCGGAAGCAUAGCUGACAUGGUGUGCCCCAUUCCAGACAACGCAUCCAGAGGCCAGAGGCGAAAGAGGGAUCGAAGCAGAAGGCGCGCAGAGAUGUACAUCAAUCAGCCCCAAGGUGCAUGUGUGUGAAAUGUGCGGCAUCUCCUGCACGCGACUGGGUGGGCCGAUGCGGCGCAGAUGCGGGAAGCGCGACGAGAGCACCCUCGAGUUGCACCACCGAGUCCUCCAGACUCCCAUGUAAAGUGACACCGCACUGUAUGACGGCAUGCCGCGGCUUGAGACGGCCGAGAGAGAGAAGCAUGUCGUGCAAGCGGGGUGUGCAAGGUCUCAGAGGGCCCUUUCCUGAGGCUGGCCAACGUCCUCCUCGAGCUCAUCUGGCGUGCGCCUGGGCCACCCCUCUACUGCCCGCGCGGCAGACGCCACCGCUUCCGCCCUCGAGCAACACCCUGGACGCGGCUCGCUUUGGAUCAAGGCAUGCCGCCCACACCCAAGUCCGUCCGCCGCCGAUUGUGAAGCACGUACCAGAGGAAGUGACGAGAAAGGACAGAAAGAGCAGGUUAUGCGCAUGGCCCUGUUCGACGGCAGGCGGUUCGUUCUCGACGACCGAGGCUUCGCCGCAGUCGAACAGAGGUAUAUGAGGGGUGGCUGUAUGCGUAUAUUUGCUCUCUUGCUUACGGGAUGACACGCUG
rnacentral:misc_RNA from 1 species